GGUACGGUUUAAAACGUAUCGGAUGAGUUGUGGUUAGGGGUGAAAAGCCAAACGAACUCGGAUAUAGCUGGUUCUCCUCGAAAUAGCUUUAGGGCUAGCCUUUGACAAAAGAUUUUAGGAGGUAGAGCACUGAAUGGUCUAGGGCGGCUUACCGUACCGAAACCUAUCAAACUCCGAAUGCCAAAAAAUCAAGUCAAGGAGUCAGACUUAGAGGGAUAAGCUUCUAAGUCGAAAGGGAAACAGCCCAGAC
rnacentral:rRNA from 13 species